rnacentral:sRNA from 1 species
UUUUCUGGCCGGGCCCAGUGGCUCACACUUGUAAUCCCAGCACUUUGGGAGGCCAAGGAGGUCAGAUCACUUGAGAUCAGGAGUUCAAGACCAGCCUGGCCAACAUGGACAACCUUAAAGUUCCACCACAAGAGGAAUAUAAAGAGGUCCCUCCUGCACCAAGAAAGAUCUGCAGAUCUUUUUCAGUGUUCUUGGAGGUGUGGGGUGUGAGAACUUGAUCAGUUUGUGUCAGCCACCUUGUUCUCUAAAGGGAAAGUCCCUCAAACCAUUUUGUAUUCUGUAUUACACUUCAGAAAGUGUGGAAGCAAAGGUCAUCUAAUCUUUAAAAGAGAUGGGACAACAAAGAAAUUCUAGCCUUUGGAGGCAUCUAGACCAGCACUAUAUGGUACAAAGAUAAUUCGAGCCAUAGAUAGAAGCUACUUACAAAUUAUAAUACUGUGGUAGAAACAAAUUCAGAUUCAGAUGAUGAAGACAAACUCCAUAUUGUGGAAGAAGAAAGUGUCACAGAUGCAGCUGAUUGUGAAGGUGUACCAGAGGAUGACCUGCCAACAGACCAGACAGUGU